GACGAACGCUGGCGGCGUGCUUAACACAUGCAAGUCGAACGAUGAAGCCUAGCUUGCUAGGUGGAUUAGUGGCGAACGGGUGAGUAAUACGUGAGUAACCUACCUUUAACUCUGGGAUAAGCCUGGGAAACUGGGUCUAAUACCGGAUACGACCAAUCUCCGCCUGGGGUGUUGGUGGAAAGCGUUAUGUAGUGGUUAUAGAUGGGCUCACGGCCUAUCAGCUUGUUGGUGAGGUAACGGCUCACCAAGGCGACGACGGGUAGCCGGCCUGAGAGGGUGACCGGGCACACGGGGACUGAGACACGGCCCAGAAUCCUACGGGAGGCAACAGUGGGGAAUAUUGCACAAUGGGGGCGAGCCUGAUGCAGCGACGCCGCGUGAGGGAAGAUGGCCUUCGGGUUGUAAACCUCUGUUAGCAGGGAAGAAGAGAAAUUGACGGUACCUGCAGAGAAAGCGCCGGCUAACUACGUG
rnacentral:rRNA from 1 species